rnacentral:rRNA from 1 species
CCUACGGGGUGCAGCAGUGGGGAAUAUUGCACAAUGGGCGCAAGCCUGAUGCAGCCAUGCCGCGUGUAUGAAGAAGGCCUUCGGGUUGUAAAGCACUUUCAGCGGGGAGGAAGGCGUUAAGGUUAAUAACCUCAUCGACUGACGUUACCCGCAGAAGAAGCACCGGCUAACUCCGUGCAGCAGCCGCGGUAAUACGGAGGGUGCAAGCGUUAAUCGGAAUUACUGGGCGUAAAGCGCACGCAGGCGGUCUGUCAAGUCGGAUGUGAAAUCCCCGGGCUCAACCUGGGAACUGCAUUCGAGACUGGCAGGCUAGAGUCUUGUAGAGGGGGGUAGAAUUCCAGGUGUAGCGGUGAAAUGCGUAGAGAUCUGGAGGAAUACCGGUGGCGAAGGCGGCCCCCUGGACAAAGACUGACGCUCAGGUGCGAAAGCGUGGGGAGCAAACAGGAUUAGAUACCCGAGUAGUC